CUGUGCUCAUCCGCCAGUCGACAUAGAUCCCCGCGAAUUGGUACUCCGAUCAUUUUGUAUCUCGUUUACAUCCACAAAACAGUGACAUUUUGUGGUAUUUAAGAUAGUCGCCGCGUAAAUACAAAUUGUGUUGAACCCUGCUUUGUUUGGUUACGUCGUUUUAGUUGAGAUUGGACACCGCUGAUGUUUCAGCGUCCAUGGCCUCCCGUAGGCUGUGGUGCGGAGUGAUACUCCUUUGGAACCGACAAUGUGGAGGCUGUUAAAAUGUCUACUUGGAAAAUGAAAUGGUUACAAUUUCUCUAACAGUAAGGAAACGGGGGUAACUCAAGAGUUAUGGUUUGUGUAGGAGACGUGUUUUCAGCUUCGUGACAAAGACGACGACGAGACGGAGGAGUGGUUCAUAUUGUCUUUUCUCAUUUUCAUCAAGCCCACAGUCCGGACCACGGGGGGAAGGAUCCGAUCCCCAACUUUGUUUUUCUCUCUACUCCAGCCGUUGAUAUCUCCCUGUUGGAUGCCACAUAAUUGAAUCCAGUCGCUUGCUGAGACUGAAAGUGCCAAGUGAACAGCAGCAGAGAAUGGCUGCAGUGGAAACUGACAAGGAGCUCAACGACUUGCUGGAUUUUAGCGCGAUGUUUGAGCCUCCCGUUUCAAAUGGCAAGAACCGGCCGACUACUCUCGCCAGCAGUCAGUUUGGAGGUAUGGAUGAGAGGAAUGGGCCCAGUCCCUGGGGGCCAGGACAACAGAACAAUCCAUCUUUCAACCAGGGAAGGGGUUAUGGAGAAGAAGGCCUUUACAGUGAGCAAGAGGGCAUUGCCUCUGCCCCCAUGUUUGGAUCAGGGAUUGUUGGGAAGGCUGAGCGAGGACCAUACUCGUCAUUUGCAACACAGCAGGGCUUUAUGCCCAGUGAGAUGCCCAUGCCCAGUCCCAAUGCCCUCUCCCCGUCUGGCCUGAAGUCUAACUCCCAGUUUUACUCCUCUUAUGAGGGAAGCAACCCUCGCAGGAGACACUCACAGGACCCCAUUGAAUCACAGCCAAAAAAGAUCAGAAAGGUGCCCCCUGGCCUGCCCUCCUCGGUUUAUGCAUCUGCCUCAGGAGAGGAUUUUAACAGGGACAAUGCUGGCUACCCAGCCUCCAAGGCAGGAAACAUUUGCCCACCACCAUUCUACGUGCAAGAAGGCCUCCACCCGCCCUCCGAUCCAUGGGGCUCUGCCAGGUCAAUGGUUCAGCCUGGUUAUUCUGCCAUGCUGGGCAACUCCCCCCAUCUGAGCCAGCAUGGUCCCUUCACUGCCAUCAACCCCCAAGACAGACUGAAACGGCAGCCACUGCCCCUCUCUCCCCAAAACUACCCGCUCCAUGGCAGUGAUGUGAACGGGACCCAUCCCACUAGCUUCCACUCUGGCUCCAGCAGCUUCGGAGUCCCCAGCCACACACCCCCUAUCGCUGGCACUGACACCAUUAUGGCCAAUCGAGUUGUAGUACCUGGAAGUUCAGGUGAUGAGAUUGGAAAAGCCCUGGCAUCUAUCUAUCCUUCAGACCCAAACAGUAACACCUUCCCUCCGUCCCCGUCUACUCCCUCUGGAUCUCCCCAGGCUGUAUCAGGCUCUGCAUCCCAGUGGACUCGGUCCUCUGGCCAGGCCACACCUUCGCCCAACUUUGAGGGUGGAAUUCAGUCCAUGCAGAGUAAAAUGGAAGACCGUCUGGACGAAGCCAUCAAUGUUCUUCAGCGUCACGCCAGCGGACAAGGAGGGCCAGGCCUGGCUGAAAUGCACAGUCUGCUCUCAUCUGGUUUAGGGUUGCCUCCAGCCUUCACCAGUGCAGCACUUGGACUGGCCAGUCGCCUGCCUGGACUGGUGUCCAGUCACCAUGAGGACUCUGGUCUGCCCUCUAGUGGAGGACUUUUGCAUGGUCACCACGGCACCACAUCUCUCCAGCCAGGCUCUCAGCAUGAAGGUUUUACCGGCCUGCCCAGUAGCCUAAGUCGUUCCACUGGUGCUGAUAUCAAACGAGAGGACAAGGAGGAUGAUGAGAACUGCUCCAUUACCGACAAGUCAGAGGAUGAGAAAAAGGACAUGAAGGCCCGCCUUCGAACAAGUCUGGAUGAUGAGGAUGACGAUGAAGAUCUGCCAGUGGAGAUUAAGGCUGAGCGGGAGAAAGUGCGGAGGAUGGCAAACAACACCCGCGAACGGCUACGUGUGCGGGACAUCAAUGAGGCUUUUAAGGAGCUGGGCCGCAUGUGUCAGCUCCAUCUGAGCAAUGAGAAACCGCAGACCAAAUUGAUCGUACUGCAACAGGCUGUUAACGUUAUACUCAACCUGGAGCAGCAAGUUCGAGGUCAGUGGGUGUCCAGGGAGGAAGGAAGAGGAGGGGAAGGGCCUCUUUACAAAAUAAAACUCCCACACGGCUUCACUUCCCAUCUCCUGACAUGUCCUGCUAGCCAUUUUAAAUCUUUUUUAAAUUUCUCGUGGUAGUUUAUUUUACUCCACUAAUGGUGGUAAACAAAUUAUGCCUGCCGAACACUAGUGACGUUACUUAUUAUUUAUUUUUGCAGUCCAUCCUAAAAAUGAAUCAACAAAGUGAGGACAUGGGAUAAGGAAAUUAAGCUGUGUGACUGUUUUUAAGACAUGCCCAUUCUCCAGUUCAUCUUCUAAGGUUUUCGUCCUCUGGUAACACAUACAGGACUGCUGUUUGUUCUGAUGCAGUAUGUGUUGCCUUGUCUUACAGUUGGCUUUCUGUUUCCACUGUGUAAAUGCUUACAUGUCUCUCUGCCUCACCCUUUGACUGGAUUAACACAUCUUUUUGUGUACUCACUUGCUUUCUCCAUUGUUGCCUCAUUAUGCUUUUAUUAAACUAUGAAGUCAUUUUAAUUUCAAAUAAGUUAUUUCAGCAUUAUGAUGCCUUCUGCUCAUAGUUUACUUGUCUGUUCACCGGCACCCCAGGUUAACAUGAAAGCAGGGCUGUCUGUUGUCAUGUGUGUUCAGCUUUGUUGCAGUGUCUCUGUGCUGCAUGUCCCAGCCUUUCAAGCAUUAACCCUUUAAUUUUUGCUACCCUGUUUUCGAGACAAACCUUUCCAUUUCUUCAUUCACUCCCCCACCCUCUGUCAUGUUCUUUUUACAGAUGGCAACAGUGAUCUCCUCUUCCUCACAUUCAGAUAAAUACAUCUCCUUCUGCUGAUGUAUUUAACAUGAUGCCCUCAGCCCUCCUCUUGGCUUUUUCUCUGUGGCUCUUUCUAUGUUGGCAGAGGGUGUUGCUUCCUCUCUCCCUCCCUUUCUCUCUCCCUCCUCAUUACUUCUCUCAUUCUGCUGGACAGUCACCAUAUCCCCUACAACUUCCAUCCUGGACCCCAAUGACCAAAAAAAAAAUCUUUGUUGGUUGGUUAGACUACAGGACAGAUUUAUUAGACCUGGUCACGCAGGUCAACUCUUGUAUCUUGAUAUCCAAUAUAUUUGUUCUUGGCUUAAAAUCAUUUAGUGCCGGGCUCGCUCAACCCACAACACUUAAAGUCAUGACUAAUUGAAAAUAUGUCCAUUUAUCAUUUACCUACUUUAGAUCUAAGAAAAAACAUCAAUUUCCACCCAUCCGCUCACUCUCCUGCAACACAGCCCCGCUCCACUGGGAUCUUCUUCAGCAAUUCCACUGGUCUCGUCUUGGGCUAAGAGCUUUAAGUUACAUAGACAUACAUAAAAGACAAAAUAUUUCCCAGUAACAGAACUAGAAUUCUGAGGAGGAAAAACAAGUUAAAAGCAGUAUUAUAGGUUUAAACCAGUAUGACUGCAGCUUUAGUGAGAACGUCUAGCCUGAGUUCAGCGAGGGUUGUGAUUUGGGUUUGUUAACCAGCCCCCUCCACCCCCCUCCCCCUCCGCCUGGCUGCAGCGUUGUCUCGGUGACUGAUGAGAACCUGACUGCCGAGGAGAAGGAGCAGAGGGAGCGUGAGCGCCGCCACGCUAACAACGCUAGGGAGAGGGUGCGUGUGCGCGACAUUAACGAAGCCUUCAGAGAGCUGGGCAGGAUGUGUCAGGUCCACCUGCAGAGCGACAAGGCCCAGACCAAGCUUAUCAUCCUGCAACAGGCUGUCCAGGUCAUACUGGGCCUGGAGAAGCAGGUGCGAGGUAGGUCAGCCAAUACAGGAAGGUCUGAUCCACAUAGACAACCAACCAUCUCUUAUCAUAGCCGGACAAAAGUUGGCAGUCAUUCACCUGUAGGAAAAUCUCUUCUUAAAUUUUGUUCUCACUUACUGUGUAGCAUCCACUUUGGCUUUCUCUUUGCUAUUUGCCUGUAUCACUUUGAAAAAUGAAGAAAGAAUGGAGAAGAAAGGGAGAAUAUUUGAGGAAGUAUAUCCCUGCCAAACGCCUGCUGUUCUCAUCCUACUUUUCAUUUUCCUGCUUUCCUUGCUUUUUCCCUUUUCUGUUUUCCCCUGUCUAUUAAUGACCUUUUUUUAUGUUCAAAACUCUGCUUUAAUGUCUUAACAGAUUUCUGAGCAUGAAGCAUAACAAGAUAAUCUCAAGAAUUUCCUUCCUUCCUUACUGUUUGUAAUCUAUGCAUGUGUCCUUUUUUCAAAGAGCGUAAUUUGAACCCAAAGGCUGCCUGCCUCAAGAGGAGAGAGGAGGAAAAAGUUUCAGGUGUGGACCCCCAGAUGCAGCUUGGUGGGGGUCACCCUGGUCUGGGAGGAGAUGGACAUAUGUAAUUCUCAGUUCCUGUUGAUUGUACAGCCCUUAGAACACGUGGCCUUAAUCUUUCAUUGUCAUGCAUCUCAGUGUGUGUUAAUCAACUUUUGGAAAGCACACAUGCACACACACCUCAUUACUGACAAGGCAGGUGGCCACAUUCCUGACGAUGAAUACAAAAGUAACAAGCACACUCUUACAGAAAGAGGAAAAUUUUAUUAAUCUUUACAUGACAAUACAUUGAACUGAGGACACUGGUUUGGAGACAGUGGAAAUUGGACAUAAGGACGUUCUUAUGAUCGUGUUUUUGUAAGACAUUUUGAAAAAAUUGCUUUACAUGUUGGGAGCAAAACUUGUUUGGAUCAAAUAAAACUUUGGAUCAAUUGAUUGUGUUAGCAGAGUUAGGAUUUGUAUUGUUGGAUAAUUAUUGGCAUUCCCAUCUGAAAAGGAGGUCUUACAUUCUUCACAAGCAAAGAGGGACACCCGGGUUUAUAUAUCAUGAUUGAACAAAACCUGUUUAUGGUUUACGUGCCUGAAAGAGGCCUAAUGCAUAGUGUUUGGUUAAGAUAAAAGUAGCCAUCUUUAUUAUCCUCUCAUGUGAUGGCUGCAUUACAGAGGUAGGUUUGGAGACAAACAGCAGCUAACUGGGCAAUCCGAGAGCUGACUUCUCUUUUUGAUACGCUGGUAACUCUGGCCGUAUUUUUUUCAUUUUUUUGCUUUGGCUGUAAAGGUGCCACAGCCACUGACUCACUGACUGGUGGGUUAUUUUUUCUUUAUUUUUAACUGUGUAUCCCUGAGUCUUAUCUCUUUAAAGUCCUGUACAUCUGUUAUUGUCACGAAGUGGAAUGGAAAGUCUGCCAGAGAGAGACCCACCACCGGCACAAACGCGAGCAAAGACUCAAUACAAAUCCAGGAUGACGUUGAAUCAAAUGUGCACAGGCACAUCCCGACCUUCCUGUGUGAGGCUGCCAUUGGACUCGAGCACACAGGUUUCACCCUCACUGCUCACAUCCUUCGCCAUCACGAAGUCAGUCACUCAGUCUCAGCCAUGUGGUCAGUUUGAACCCUGUGACUCCAGUACAGCCAGUGUCGCAUCAGCCUGCCCCUGUCAAAUCAUACCUAAAGACACUGUUGCAGCAUGGUGAACUUACUUACCGUAAGUCAAUUUGUAUUGUGCUAGAAGACAGAAAUAAUUGAGUAUUGAAAGGGAUCAUGAGUGUUACUGCUACCUUUUUAUGGAGAAUUUAUGCCAUUGACUGACUUGUUGUGGUUGUUGCUCUGUGUCGAGCAUUUGGUGUUUUGUUUUUUUUCCCCCUUUUGAACAAUUGCAAAGCCUGUUGUAAGGAUCUUCCUUUUGUAGAAUUGAUUUGUCAUUGUUUUUUUUAUUUUUUACAUUGUAAGAUAGUUGUAUGAGUUUUGUUUUAAUCAUUUGGAAUGCUCUUUCUUUUUUGUUUACAUUGUUUAAAUGUAAGAGGACUCUCAAUUUAGAUUCCAGGAACAAAGUGAGGUGUUUUCUUUUGUGCCAGGUGCUUAGAAAUGUUAGAAAUGACAAAAUGAUCUGGCUGUAACAUCACAUGUUGUGAUAUUGCUUUUUUGUUGUUUUAAAUGCCUGUUUCAACACAAACCUGUCAGGCCAGUUGUAAUUCUGGUGUUUACGACAGUUUUUCUUAAAAUAAAACAUAAUAUUUUUCUUCAGCACACCCCCCCUCCUCUCCCUGAUGUCCAGCUGAUGAGCUAGUUGAUUAGUUUGAGGAAGAGGCAGUAGGGGCUGCACAAUAUACAACAUAAUUCACUGUUUUAUUAUGAUAUAAAGCAUAAAAUGAAUCAAAAAGGGUGGCCUUAGUCAUUUUCCUGACUUUGGGAGUUUUGAUAAUGGUUACUCACCAGUGCCUGAAUACGUCUCUGCUACAUGGUGGAUGAUGUUGCAUUUGAGGAUACAUAUAUACUUCAUUAACAUCUGGCAGUGUCUCAGAACAUCUAAAUGAAGAAUUACAUUAAUUGACGCUGAUUGCUUCAGUGUUUGUGUGUCAUUAAAUGUAAGAUGACUAAUAACCUGAUCUACAACUCUGAAGCUGAAAACUGUACUUAAAAUAUAUUUUUCAUCUUUUAUGAACUGAUUUUGUCAAGUAUAAUUUUGUCCUUGAUUGGCAUGUGCAUUGAUAUGUAUGUACAGCUGUAUGAUAUGUCCUCAUCAGCUUUAUCAUUGUAAGCUGAUACUGAUAUGUAACAGUAUUUGGUUUACUUCUACCUGUCAUUUUGUCACAAAUCUUGCCCUAUGGACUAGCCCCAAACAUUGUUUUCUUUGUCAGUUACUCCAGCCUUUCUGCAGAAAAAAAUGUGGUUGUCAUAUGAAAAAUCGCUACUGAAGACUUGUACUUUUAUUUCUUAACAUGAAUGAUGUGUCUACAGUAUCCAAGUAUCAAAACAUGCACCUGAUAUUCUUUAUUAACAGACCCUUUCUGUCCUCCACAGCAGAUGACCUGCUAUAGAUCUCUCUCUGUCUUCACUCAUGUUUGGGGACAACAUCUAUGUAGGCUAUGUCCUCAAAGUGCCUCCAGUUUCCUAUUUUUUAUAUAUAAAGUAGAUAUCGAGAACUGUUGUGUAUAUAACAGUAAUGUAGCAAUAAAUGUGCCAUUUUUAAUAACAAAA